UGUCAAAGUUUCAAGUUUUUUUUCAAAGUUAAUGAAUAACAAAUAAAAAUCUAUUCGUUGAAUUUUACUGUCGCCACCACCAGUUUGAGUAGAUUCCGCAAUUUGAGAGAUUACAUUAAAAAUGAUAAAAUUAGUUGUGAUGUGGUGUUUCACUUCGAGAGAAUAUGAGUACAAUGAGAUUAUGAGAGAUUGAUUUUUU
rnacentral:sRNA from 1 species